GAAAAGUUAUUAUUCUUUGCUCUCUCUACCUCAAGUUAUCAAGCACCUUUUGCUCAAUGGAUUUUGCUUUGCACAGACUCACAUGUACAUUAGCCAUGUUAACAGACUCAGGAAAGGUGCCAUUGAAAGCCAUUUCUGGUGGUUAGAAUGAUUACCCCAUGUGGGCUAAGUUGGAAGAGAAGACAAGAGAAGACCCUUGGCAUUGUGUGAUUGCUGCCAUAAAUCAAAUAUGACGCUAGAAGUUUCAAUGAGCAUAUUGGGAAUCUCACUGAUUCCCAAGUCUUUUUAUGAACACUCCCUGGGUUGUUUGCAGAACAAAGAAAUGGGCAGUCAUUUUGUAUGUGCCUCUUUUGCUUCUAGGACCAGUAGUAAAACUGAAGAAUAUGCUGAGAGACUUUGCUCACAAGCAAUGCAGUCAUUAUCUUGGUGAGAUGUUUGGUUCCUGUCAUGGCUCGUUCCCUCCUCAUUCCUAUUCUCUGUGUUGUUUCUUCAUCCCCAGCCUGUGACAGUCCCCAGUGACAGUCCCCAAACAUACCACCUCCCUAGGACAGUUCGUAGCGUGUGAAGCUCCUAGUCUUUGUGCUCUUGUCCUCCUCACACACUGCAUCCCCUCUGAGACUUGCUGGCUAUCUUCUCUAGGCUACUCUGUACUUCUCCUUCCUGCUGUAUGCCAGUUUCAAGGCCCUUUGUCUCAGAAGUCUCUUCCUGAUGUUCAGCCUUCUACCCAACAAUCCAGGUACCUCUCCCCUGUCUACUCUUGGCCCGCUCACCCCCAUCUCACCUUAGCCCCAUAGUAUUGUCUCCAACCACACUGCUUCUUGGCUACCUCCAUCCUGAACUACCAGCAAGGUCAGGUGUGUACUGGUGUCGCCAACAGGUGGCAACUGACAGAGUGUGUGUUCCUGUGGUUUAGUUUGCUCACUGUGAGAAUAAUAUCUGAGUAUCUUUGAGAGACUUCAGAGGACAUCCAUGCAGACUCCGUUUUGAGAAUGAGACACACCUCCUCUGAAAUCCCAAGAUAACUGAUAGUAAAAGUCCUGAGGAUGGGGCAGCAUGAUGGAUGCUCGGACAAAGGCUGCUAUGUUCAAAUCUGGGGAUGGGGUGUGUGCCUGGCUGAAUGGCUGGCAUUUUAGGUGUACUAAUGACCGGUAACUGGACUGAAAUUCUAAUUUCUUACUGUGGUCAAAUACAAUGAAUUAUUAAAAGCAGCAGUGGGAGAAACAAAAUGGUACAUCAUUUCCAAAACAGGAGCAAGAAAGCGCC
rnacentral:lncRNA from 1 species